GCGUUUUCUAUCUUAAUAACUUGUGCUCUUUCCCCGUGGGGGCCCAGUGCACAGUGGCUGCAAACAGUAGCCUCCUUGAUAGUGUAUGCAGUUUGUUGAUUGAAUGGGUUGCCCUAAGGGACUGUGGAGAUAGCC
ensembl:snoRNA SNORA70 Small nucleolar RNA SNORA70